rnacentral:rRNA from 1 species
GACGAACGCUGGCGGCGUGCUUAACACAUGCAAGUCGAACGGAAAGGCCCUGCUUGCAGGGUACUCGAGUGGCGAACGGGUGAGUAACACGUGGGUGAUCUGCCCUGCACUUCGGGAUAAGCCUGGGAAACUGGGUCUAAUACCGGAUAGGAGCCAUUUUUAGUGUGAUGGUUGGAAAGUUUUUUUCGGUGUAGGAUGAGCUCGCGGCCUAUCAGCUUGUUGGUGGGGUAAUGGCCUACCAAGGCGGCGACGGGUAGCCGGCCUGAGAGGGUGGACGGCCACAUUGGGACUGAGAUACGGCCCAGACUCCUACGGGAGGCAGCAGUGGGGAAUAUUGCACAAUGGGCGCAAGCCUGAUGCAGCGACGCCGCGUGGGGGAUGACGGCCUUCGGGUUGUAAACUCUUUUCGCUAGGGACGAAGCUUUUUGUGACGGUACCUAGAGAAGAAGCACCGGCUAACUACGUG